CACGGGCCGGCUCAACCCG
rnacentral:snRNA from 1 species